rnacentral:rRNA from 1 species
AUACGGAGGGUGCAAGCGUUAUCCGGAAUCAUUGGGUUUAAAGGGUCCGUAGGCGGGCGAUUAAGUCAGAGGUGAAAUCCCACAGCUCAACUGUGGAACUGCCUUUGAUACUGGUUGUCUUGAGUUACAGUGAAGUAGAUAGAAUGUGUAGUGUAGCGGUGAAAUGCAUAGAUAUUACACAGAAUACCGAUUGCGAAGGCAGUCUACUAACUGUAUACUGACGCUAAUGGACGAAAGCGUGGGGAGCGAACAGGAUUAGAAACCCGGGUAGUCC